rnacentral:lncRNA from 1 species
UUGAAAAGGGACAAGGGAGAACAUUUGGCAUAAGAGUGUUAUACACUGGAGCAAAUUCUAUAUCGAAGCCGAAUUAGGCCUAGUACAGUUGCUGAAUUAAUUUAUAAGGACUAAUAAAAACAAAUUAAAGGCUAGCUAAAAGAAUCCAAAAUUACUCCAAAAUAAAUUUCUAUUGGAGAUAUUCCCUCAUGACAGUAUAUCAGCUGAAGAUAUGUACUUUCUCACCAAAGCAAGACAGCAUUUCAAGCACCGUCAACGAACCAUCGCCCACUUGGCUAGCUAUACAUAUCUGCACCAACGAACAAGUUUGUCAUAAUAGUUCAGCAGAGAUGCGAGUCGUGUAAAUUGAGACAUGUUCUAUCACAAGUUGUCAUCACUUCUUAAGUACCAAAUGCGUAGACCGAAAGAAUAAUACGCAACUACUCCUCUUUUGAUAUUAUUUCACUAGUUAUACAGAUCAUAUCGUAGACCAUCAAGAUUCCUACAACCACAAAACUAUACUGUAUGUUUCAAGUCAAAGAAAAGGACACAUUUACUGCAGUCAAGCCACUACAUAAUUGUAAAGGCUAAAAAAUCUUUUCUAAACUUACAACACCUUAGCUUGAGCAGCUGGAUAAUAUCUAUAAUGCAAUGAAUUGUAAGCAAAAAACAUAAAUAGGCUUUGAGUCAGAAUAUUUCUCCAAAGCUAAUAUGUAUCUGUAUCCUAAUUAGUUGAAUUAUUAUCUUGCUCAGAAUAAUAAAUACAAUAAAGCAAGGUUACAUGUGUUUGUUUUCUAUUGUUGAAAAGGAGCCUAACGUACAUUUACCAAUAAGUAACUAAUUCAUGUUUUUCCAUGUACAUGCUUAGGAACGAAAAUCCAAACACGCUAGUACUCAUCCCAUCAAAACCUUGUAUCAUACUGUCAUUGAUCGCUACCCUUUUUAAAAACAUAAGCUUAUAAACUUAAGACAAAAAUAACUAAAACCCCAAAAAUCAUCAAUGACUCCUUAUUUAUUGAAUAGUAUCAUAAAAAAUUAUGUUCACAUUAAGAACAGAACAUCUUAAUAGCAUUUUUCUUAAAUUCAAAACAACUAGAAAGUUUACACUUGAUAGCAUUAGUCUGAAAUCGAACCAAGAAAAUUUGAAAAAGAAAAAAAAAACAAAGGAGUAAUAUUACCAUUUUUUCAAGCAAAAAAAUAAUUGUCUACUUACAUUUUAGGCCACCCAAAGGAUAUAAGCUAUAGCCCUACCACAUAUAACCACUCGCAAGAAACAGAGUAAGAAAAUAAGACAACAUUUAUAAGCAUAUGUAUUAUUGCCAUUUUCCCCAUUGUUUAUAUUUUUAUGAAUAUUAUGACUGAAAUCUUCACCAAAAGAAUUAGCCUACUAACUAUACAAGUUUCCAGUUCUCCCAUUAUUCUUUUUCUCCUAUGCGAAAAUUAAACUUCCACAAAACCCCAUACCUUCCGAACCAGUAACUCAUCACUCUCCUUUGUUCUUAAAGCAAACCAUGUUUCAUACCUAUUCAUAGGAAGAAUGGAAGAUAUGUUCAAUCUAUAAAUGUAAUACAAGAAAACUGGAGUGGUUAAAAGGAUCAACCAACAUAAGGACAAGUAACCAGAAGCCAAGCCAACCCAACUAAAGGGAGUCAAAGCCAAAGCUAGCAUCAAACUUUCAUCCACACACUUCAUGUUCUCAGCAUAGGACCAUCCCUAAGUUUCCAGGUCAGCACUACUUCAGCACAACGCAUUCUUGCUGAAUUUGAAUUCAUACACAUUAGAUAUUAGAUACUUCUCUAAAAUUGUCUCUUUUCUAGUCUUUUUUGGGGCUAAUUUUAACGAGCUAAUCAGAGAGAAACCUUCUAACUUCCCUAUUCUGCUGAAUAGUAUCUGUAAUCAGGAGGAAAAAGACAGGAGUUGCACCACGCCAAAAACACCAAGCUACACAGUUCCUGUUAAACUUGGAUACAUCAGUCCUACCCUUAUUUUGCACCUCCAAAUAAAUUAGGGAUGACUAGGUGGCAACUGAACCCAUUAAUCCAUCAUAUGUUCAUAUCUAAAUGCAAUCUAUUCCACCCAAUUAUACUAAUGUUUAUUGAGCUGGAUGGAUGGGAUGAGUUUUAAUUUAAGUAUGGUUAAUCAUUCAAAAGUUCGGUUGGAUAUCCAUGUAAUCAAACUCCCCAACCUUUUAUCUGUGACCCAAACCCAUCCUUUACAAAUACCAGCACCCUUCACAUGGAUAGAAAGGUUGGGACAUUGUUACAGUGCUUGUACUGGUUAGUGGUACAUUUCUUGAAGACUUGAACAGUACAGAUGAUAGAUGCAGCUUCCAGCCAGACUUCACCAUUACCUAUGUCUGGUGAUGGAAGAUGACAUGUACAAAUAACUAGAGAGCACAAUGAAGGUUCUCCUUUGAGAAUUCAAACUACACGGACAGUGAUGGAGCUGUGUAAAAUCAAUUGUAGCUCAUUAAAAUUACUUAUUUUUUGUAAGAUUGCAUCCAAACACACAAUAAACAUUUAUAAUGGCUUAUUCUAAAUUAAAUAAGUGAAACCAAACAGACUCUUAACCCACAGUCAAUAGGUGACCAUGCAGCAAACUGGAGGGAAAUCUGUACGAGUCCAAUGUUCAUUGUUUACAAGAUCACAUAAUUCCUCCUCAGUUGAUGAAGAAUAUACUUGAGAAAGUUAAAUCCAUCAUGCCAUUUGGGGCUCAACUAUGCCAAAUCACAAGAUUUCUAAUAACCAUUCCAACAGAUUCAAGAAUCCACAAGUGACCUUAAAUUUAUAAAGGUAACUCAUUAGAGUCAUUUUGUAAAAAUAGAGUCCUAAAUUCCUUUCAUUAUAGUUUUUACUAAACAAGACAAGUUUGUAGAUAACAUGCCUAAAGCCUUUCUUGUUAUUAAAGGGAUGAAAUGGACAAUAUUUCUCAAUGUGGCAAAGAAAUCUUGAGUUAUCAAUGGUAUGUUAUUUUUAGUUAACACAACUGUCAUCAUAUUCCUAAUUUCCAUAAAUUAUGUAGCUGCAUGGUAAUACUUCCUACCCCUUAAAUCAAUCAGUGUGUAAGAAAUAUCCAAGAGUUUAACCAUCAACAUGUUCCCCCCUCUUUAGCUUGCAUAUUAGCCCACAACAACGACCCAAAACUGCAUCACAUCUAUGAAAGUUGAAAUACAGCACACAUGUACCACACAUGGUUUGGCAAUGCAUUUAUAAAAGUAGAAGUACAGUACCAAUUUACCAUGCAUGGCUCUAUUUCAAUCAGAUACAAAAGGAAAGUGAAAUAUAACAUUACCAACAGCCACCGAAUGCAAAACUAAAAAACAAAGCUUUGAAUGUGAGAAUUUUCAACACACAACUACCACAAAGACAGACAAAAAAAGUAAACAUAACUACACUCAUCUGUUUGCAGAAGUUAAUGUGAAAUAUAUGAUUAGUAAGUUUGAACAUCAAAUACAAGCUGACUUCCAAAAUAAGAAGACAUACUAAAACAAAUAACAAUGAGAAUUCAUUUAUGUAGGAUAGUUCAGUCAAAAGCUUUAACAUGGUCACUAGCCCCUCACGUUAAUUGUCAAUGUCACAAGAGCUUGAAAACGCCAUUAUAAUGCUAAAUCAUCUGCAUCUUGCAGAACCAUAAGCUUUAAAGUUAACAAGACGAGCUUAAAGCCUCAACCAUUUUUAUAGAAAAACAGUUCACAAAAAAAAUCUCACCAUCAACUAUGAUAUAAAUAACCUGCCAAAACGAUGUACUAAAGUGCACCACAUGCUAGUAUAUUUAAUUGCAGGACUACAAGAAAGAAAACCAAUUCAGAGCAUUCAGCGCACCCUCUAGAGUCCUAAACAAUCUAUUUUUCUUUUCCCACCAAAAAGGAACUCACUGAAGAAUCCUCUAGCGACCCACUCAUCCUCAAGUCCAAAACAUCAUUCAUUCGUUGAAAACAAAACACUAUAAAGUACAACGUGUGAUCAAAUCAAGCCAAAAGGGAAAGAAAAAAA